rfam:Oryctolagus cuniculus chromosome 3, whole genome shotgun sequence.
AGACAGGAGCUUUUCAGCUCCACACCUAAAGAUAAAGAAACUGAA